CACUUUCCUGCAGAACAACAGAAAAUCAAAUACAUUUAAUAAGCUCCUGAAGUCAGAUUUAAUGUGAUACUGUACUUUUUCUGAAAAACAUGCAAGUAUAUUAUACAUUCUGCAGGACAUGAAUUUUGAGUUUUGUCCUCUAGAUGUCCUUAUAGUUACAAAGUACACAAUAAUCAUGGCUUGCAUCAAUGUCGACCGCACUUGUGGGCUUUGCAUAAUCCUGGGGUAGUAUUUAAUCUUGUGUAUUGAGUAUUUGUUACCGUUCACAUAUUUAUGAGGUCAGUGAUUGGUGGAACAGCCAAGCAGCAUAGUUUUAUAACUACUUAUCCAAUUUUGGAAAUAUUUGAUAUUUUCAUUUCACGUUCAGACUGUGAAAUAUUUUGUGACUGUACAGAGCAUAUGAAUAAUUAAUGAGUUGAGAACUGUUUGGUUUAUGAUUGGUUGAUGAUCUGUACAUUUGUAAAUCCGUUGAAUUCUUUACAUAUUUGUCAAGUCAAUAACGACAAAUGGUCAAAAAGGCACGCAACCUAUUUUAAUACUAACUGCUUAUCCAAUUGUGAAAAUGUUUGCCAUAGGAUUUAAUUCUUUAUUUCAGACAGACGUUGAAGCAAAACAAAGCAUGUGAAAUCUUUUUGUGACAAGUGCAGAGCAUAUGAAUUAUUCAUGAGGUACUCUAUGGGGUCAUGAUGGUUCCCGCUCAGCGAUGUCAUCAACCUGUAGUUCGACUAGCCGCUCCGCUGCCUUCCAGUCACACUAGGCUCCAGUCUGGAUCCAGAACACCUGAGAAGAGAUGAUGCUGACCCUCAGAGGACCUCAGAUGAUGCUAACCCUGAAUCAACAACAGAACUAACAAUUAUUGCUGCAUGUGUGACUGCAUCAUAUAAUAAUGAUUAAUUAAUAAUAUUAAUAAUGUUCAUUGUCUAGCUGACUACGUCUUGUAUUAAUUUUUUCUACAAAUCCUGUCAAACGUGCACAAACUGACCAAGGUCAAUUUCUUUUUUUUCUGGAAUUAGGGAUAUUUCAAUAUUUUGUUAAUUUAGCAAUCAGCACCAACUUGGCAGACCAACAUGACGGACUGAACAGUUUGCCUUCUGUUUCUCACAGGUUUUGAUUUGUUAUUAAAACUCAUGCAUGAGUAAACAGAAGUUUUCAGAAACCUUAAGAGGAUCAGUCAUAUAUCAAACUGCGCACUUACCCACAAUUCCCAGUGACUUCCAAGAUUUUUCCAGCAGCAUGGGCACAUAGG